GAUGAACGCUGGCGGCGUGCCUAAUACAUGCAAGUCGAGCGAACGGACGAGAAGCUUGCUUUUCUGAUGUUAGCGGCGGACGGGUGAGUAACACGUGGAUAACCUACCUAUAAGACUGGGAUAACUUCGGGAAACCGGAGCUAAUACCGGAUAAUAUUUUGAACCGCAUGGUUCAAAAGUGAAAGACGGGCUUGCUGUCACUUAUAGAUGGAUCCGCGCUGCAUUAGCUAGUUGGUAAGGUAACGGCUUACCAAGGCAACGAUGCAUAGCCGACCUGAGAGGGUGAUCGGCCACACUGGAACUGAGACACGGCCCAGACUCCUACGGGAGGCAGCAGUGGGGAAUCUUCCGCAAUGGGCGAAAGCCUGACGGAGCAACGCCGCGUGAGUGAUGAAGGUCUUCGGAUCGUAAAACUCUGUUAUUAGGGAAGAACAUAUGUGUAAGUAACUGUGCACAUCUUGACGGUACCUAAUCAGAAAGCCACGGCUAACUACGUG
rnacentral:rRNA from 1 species